GCCGUAAACGAUGGGCACUAGGUGUUGGGGGGGUUAAACCCUUCGGUGCCAAAGCUCACGCAUUAAGUGUCCCGCCUGGGGAGUACGGUCACAAGGCUGAAACUCAAAGGAAUUGACGGGGACCCGCACAAACGGUGGAGCAUGUGGUUCAAUACGACGAUACGCGUGGAACCUUACCCAGACUUGACAUGUACCAGAAAGCCCUAUGAAAGUAGGGCCCCCUCGCAAGAGGUUGGUACACAGGUGUUGCAUGGCUGCCGUCAGCUCGUGUCGUGAGACGUU
rnacentral:rRNA from 1 species